rnacentral:rRNA from 1 species
CGUAACAAGGUUUCCGUAGGUGANCCUGCGGAAGGAUCAUUA